ACCCAGACUCCUACGGGAGGCAGCAGUAGGGAAUAUUGCUCAAUGGGGGAAACCCUGAUGCAGCGACGCCGCGUGAGUGAAGAAGUAAUUCGUUAUGUAAAGCUCUAUCAGCAGGGAAGAAAAUGACGGUACCCGAGUAAGAAGCCCCGGCUAACUACGUGCCAGCAGCCGCGGUAAUACGUAGGGGGCAAGCGUUAUCCGGAUUUACUGGGUGUAAAGGGAGCGUAGACGGCAGUGCAAGUCUGGAGUGAAAGGCGGGGGCUCAACCCCCGGACUGCUCUGGAAACUGUACGGCUGGAGUGCAGGAGAGGUAAGUGGAAUUCCUAGUGUAGCGGUGAAAUGCGUAGAUAUUAGGAGGAACACCAGUGGCGAAGGCGGCGUACUGGACGAUGACUGCCGCUGAGGCUCGAAAGCGUGGGGAGCAAACAGGAUUAGAUACCCCAGUAGCA
rnacentral:rRNA from 1 species